GACGAACGCUGGCGGCGUGCUUAACACAUGCAAGUCGAACGGAAAGGCCCUGCUUUUGUGGGGUGCUCGAGUGGCGAACGGGUGAGUAACACGUGAGUAACCUGCCCUUGACUUGGGAUAACUUCAGGAAACUGGGGCUAAUACCGGAUAGGAGCUCCUGCUGCAUGGUGGGGGUUGGAAAGUUUCGGCGGUUGGGGAUGGACUCGCGGCGUAUCAGCUUGUUGGUGGGGUAGUGGCUUACCAAGGCUUUGACGGGUAGCCGGCCUGAGAGGGUGACCGGCCACAUUGGGACUGAGAUACGGCCCAGACUCCUACGGGAGGCAGCAGUGGGGAAUAUUGCACAAUGGGCGGAAGCCUGAUGCAGCAACGCCGCGUGCGGGAUGACGGCCUUCGGGUUGUAAACCGCUUUCGCCUGAGACGAAGCGUGAGUGACGGUAAUGUGUAAAGAAGCACCGGCUAACUACGUG
rnacentral:rRNA from 1 species